UUGGUGGGGUAACGGCUCACCAAGGCGACGAUCCCUAGCUGGUCUGAGAGGAUGACCAGCCACACUGGAACUGAGACACGGUCCAGACUCCUACGGGAGGCAGCAGUGGGGAAUAUUGCACAAUGGGCGCAAGCCUGAUGCAGCCAUGCCGCGUGUAUGAAGAAGGCCUUCGGGUUGUAAAGUACUUUCAGCGGGGAGGAAGGGAGUAAAGUUAAUACCUUUGCUCAUUGACGUUACCCGCAGAAGAAGCACCGGCUAACUCCGUGCCAGCAGCCGCGGUAAUACGGAGGGUGCAAGCGUUAAUCGGAAUUACUGGGCGUAAAGCGCACGCAGGCGGUUUGUUAAGUCAGAUGUGAAAUCCCCGGGCUCAACCUGGGAACUGCAUCUGAUACUGGCAAGCUUGAAUCUCGUAGAGGGGGGUAGAAUUCCAGGUGUAGCGGUGAAAUGCGUAGAGAUCUGGAGGAAUACCGGUGGCGAAGGCGGCCCCCUGGACGAAGACUGACGCUCAAG
rnacentral:rRNA from 1 species